UACAGAGGGUGCAAGCGUUUAAUCGGAAUUACUGGGCGUAAAGCGUGCGUAGUCGGUUAUUUAAGUCGGAUGUGAAAUCCCCGGGCUCAACCUGGGAAUUGCAUUCGAUACUGGGUAGCUAGAGUUCGGCAGAGGGAAGCGGAAUUUCGGGUGUAGCGGUGAAAUGCGUAGAUAUCCGAAGGAACAUCAGUGGCGAAAGCGGCUUCCUGGACCAGAACUGACGAUCAGGCACGAAAGCGUGGGGAGCAAACAGG
rnacentral:rRNA from 1 species